rnacentral:rRNA from 1 species
AUGGCGUCCUCUCCACAAUCCUCCUCCUCUGCACCCAAAGCCGACGACAAGGCAGCGUCCCACAAAGAAAUCUACGACCAGCUCCUAGAGGUCGUGUCCACCUACCCGACGGCGCCUAGCGGCAUCGGCCGCCCGUACACCCACCACCCAGACGGCUGGUACGCGUUCACGCCGGCCGUCGUGAACGCCAUGGUCAUCAAGCGGCACCUCAAGGCGCGCGACACCGACGUCUUCCUCGCCACCUUCCCCAAGUCCGGCACCACCUGGCUCAAGGCGCUCCUGUUCGCGACCCUCCGCCGCACCGCGGACGGGCCCGCACUCGCGCCGCUCGCAGCCCACAGCCCCCACCAGCUCAUCCCUUUCCUCGAGGUCCAGGUUUUCAGCAACGGCCAGAUCCCCGACCUGAGCUCCCUCCCCGCGCCGCGGCUCCUGAUGACGCACAUCCCGUCCCGGUCGCUGCCGGAGUCAGUCGUCGCCUCCGGCUGCAAGGUGGUGUACCUAUGCCGGGACCCCAAGGACUGCUUCGUGUCGCUCUGGCACUUCUGGAACCGGUUCGCGCCGUCGCCGUGGGACCUCGGCGAGGCGUUCCAGCACUUCUGCGACGGCGUCUCGCUGUUUGGGCCUUUCUGGGAGCACGCACUUGGCUACUGGCGCUGGCACGUGGAGAGGCCGGAGCAGGUUCUCUUCCUGACCUACGAGGAGCUCGCCGCCGACACGAUCGGCCAGCUGAGGCGCCUCGCGGAGUUUGUCGGGCGCCCGUUCACGGCAGAGGAGCGGGAAGCCAGGGUGGACAGGGAGAUCGUGGAGGCAUGCGCCAUGGAGAGCCUGGCGGGACUGGAGGUGAACCGCUCCGGGAAGACCGCCAUGAUCGAGGACUCAGUGGCGAACAACAUAUUCUUCCGGCGCGGCGUCGUUGGCGACUGGAAGAACCACCUGACGCCGGAGAUGGCGAGAAGGAUCGAUGAGAUCACCAAGAGCAAGUUCAGAGGAUCGGGUUUCGCGUUGACACCGGCAACCGCAGAUCAGAACUAG